AGAAUCAACGCUGGCGGCGUGCCUAACACAUGCAAGUCGAACGAGAAAGUGGAGCAAUCCAUGAGUAAAGUGGCGACCGGGUGAGUAACACGUGACUAACCUACCCUAGAGUGGGGAAUAACCUCGGGAAACCGGGGCUAAUACCGCAUAACAUCGCAGAGGGAAGCUCUUUGCGAUCAAAGGAGUAAUUCGCUCAAGGAGGGGGUCGCGGCUGAUUAGUUAGUUGGUGAGGUAACGGCCCACCAAGACUUAGAUCAGUAGCCGGCCUGAGAGGGCGCACGGCCACACUGGAACUGAAACACGGUCCAGACUCCUACGGGAGGCAGCAGUGGGGAAUUUUGCGCAAUGGGGGAAACCCUGACGCAGCAACGCCGCGUGGAGGAUGAAGUCCCUUGGGAUGUAAACUCUUUCGAUCGGGACGAUAAUGACGGUACGGAAGAAGAAGCACCGGCUAACUCUGUGCCAGCAGCCGC
rnacentral:rRNA from 1 species